CCUACCGCCAAUACUGCCCACUAACCGUGUCCCUUAGUGAUGCAUCAUAUCUCCACGUUUCUUGAAUGCCUCCAGGGACGGUGCCUCCUGAGGCAGCCUGUUCCAAUGUAUCGCCACUCUUCCUGAGGAGAAAUUUUUCCUGAUGUUCAAUCUGACUCCUCACAGUGAGCCCUCUUCCUUCCCCAAGGCCCCAGAGAGGUGAUAGGGGACCAGGGCUGCCUACCACCAAAGUGCCACGGGUUGGUUGUGGUGGUGCAGGUGCUUUAUGUGUGGGGCAGGUGAAUGAGGGCCCAAUUCAUGUCACACCAAAGGGAGUGGGAGAAAAGUCAAGGGAAGAGGUGGGGUCUUUUACUGGAGCAACAGAUAAUCACACACUUCGAGGGAAGACCAGGCCUCUGCUUUCCAGCAAACACCCUCCAGAGCUGUAAGUGAAGUGGCAGCAUUCACGGCUAAGCUGAAAGUAAUUGUGCUAAUAUUUUAAUGGCCUACCUGCCACUGAAAAUGAUUGAACACCCGACAAAUGAUGAUCAGGAACCAAGGCAAGAUGACCACCUUCAGUGGGUACAACGGCAGCCAUGUGCUCCUGCGGCAGGAGGGAGCAGAGUGGUCUACAGCUCCUGGCCCUGCAGAGCCCAUACUUCUGUUAUUCAACAAAAAGCUGCAGGUUCCCCUUGGGAUUCUAGUAGAACUGAGCUUAAAAGUGUGCUCUUGAGGAUCAGCCCCGGGAGCUGAGAGAAGUGCUCCCUCAGAGAGAUCUGGCAGUUCUACUUGUUGCUGUCAGCACUUGUAGCUAUCACAGGAAGUUCUCAGGAAGCUCUCAAUCAUUUCCUGAGGUGGGAUGGAGCUGACCGCAUGUUCCUGCUGAGAAUGCAUAUUCAGCAAGGAGGUAAUUUUGUGGCAAACCUUUAAAGACAACUACAGUGUGAAGCCACACCAUUUUGUAUUGAGGAAAUUCAAUCAAGAGUUCUUUGGUUUGACAUCUGUUAUCAACAAGAUAUAACACAGAGGAAAGAGAGCCUAAACAAAGAGGAAAACUCAAUAUUUAAUCUUCCAGUUUUCUAAGAUGGAAUUCAUAAAAGCCUACCAUCACCCAAGGAACACCCUUAGAAUACCCAUUUGGUAUUCACCAAAUACAGCUUCUUUGGUUUUAAGUACUUGUAGAAACAUUGGCAGCUGCUUUCUGACUGAGCAUUUGGCAAUUGCAUACUGGAAGCUGUAAUUUUCACUUGCCUCCCUCAUCACAAGCUUCCAGAAUCUGAUGACCAACACUUCCACCCAUCUUGUGACCAAGAUUUCCAAAAACUUUGACACUGGAUCUCUCAGCUGGGCUCCCUAAGCAGCUGUUCCGAUGCCUUCCCACUCUUUCUGAAAAGAAAUUUUCCAAACUGAAACCAAUCUGAGCUUGGUCCACAUAUUUAAGGAAACUAGUCUAUAGGAGGAGGAGACAGUAUUUCUGAGAAAACAACAGCAACAACAACAAAAACACAAGACAAGAACAACAACAACAAAAGUAAUCAAGCCAUUUGAACUCAGGUUCAAAAAAACUUCUGUGGAAGACCUGUGAAGACAAAAACAAAAACUAGCUGAUCCUGUAACUCAUAUUAAAGCACUUUCUAAGCAUAUGAAUGUCUGGUACUUUAAAACACAGUCAUUAAGUUGAAUACUUAUUUUUACACAACAGCCAUAUAACAUCAUGUAUUACAUUGCCUCAAUAUAUUUGACGUUGGCAGCAAAAAUGCAAUAGAUAUACAUACCUUUGUGCAUACACUCUUAACUGAAUUUGCUUGCCAGCAUUGUCCCAGUCCUGUGUGACGUGAUGGUAGUUGGCUAAUCAGCCAGCUCUCUCCCAUGAUGCAAUUUACAACACAGACUUAGUGAGUGAGUAUGUUGGAUGUUUCAAACCAGUUAGCGCCCGUAGGUUUCAAAAGGCAUUGCCCCAGUCUUUAUCUUUUCCCCAUAAUCUUCUUAAUAACCUCACGAGUACUAUAAAUAAAGGAAGAGAAUGGUGAAAUUGUGACUUUUCACUGAAG
ensembl:lncRNA